rnacentral:misc_RNA from 1 species
GAUGAAGAACGUAGCGAAAUGCGAUACUUGGUGUGAAUUGCAGAAUCCCGUGAACCAUCGAGUCUUUGAACGCAAGUUGCGCCCGAAGCCAUUAGGCCGAGGGCACGCCUGCCUGGGCGUCACACGCCGUUGCCCCCCCAUCUACUCCUUCGGGAUUGCGGGGGGGCGGAUGAUGGCCUCCUGUGCGCCUAGCCGCGCGGUUGGCAUAAAUACCAAGUCCUCGGCGACGCACGCCACGACAAUCGGUGGUUGCGAAACCUCGGUUGCCCGUCGUGUGCGUUCGUCGCGCAUCGAGGGCUCGAAAAAAUGCUCGGCUCCGGCUGGGCUUUCAACGCGACCCCAGGUCAGGCGGGGUUACCCGCUGAAUUUAAGCAUAUCAAUAAGCGGAGGA